GACAACAUGGCAUAGUGGUUUGAGUGUUGGCCUACAAAUCUGGAGACCAGGGUUCGAGUCCCAGCUCAGCCA